rnacentral:misc_RNA from 1 species
GAUGAAGAACGCAGCGAAAUGCGAUAAGUAAUGUGAAUUGCAGAAUUCAGUGAAUCAUCGAAUCUUUGAACGCACAUUGCGCCCCCUGGCAUUCCGGGGGGCAUGCCUGUCCGAGCGUCAUUUCUGCCCUCAAGCACGGCUUGUGUGUUGGGUGUGGUCCCCCCGGGGACCUGCCCGAAAGGCAGCGGCGACGUCCGUCUGGUCCUCGAGCGUAUGGGGCUUUGUCACUCGCUCGGGAAGGACCUGCGGGGGUUGGUCACCACCAUAUUUUACCACGGUUGACCUCGGAUCAGGUAGGAGUUACCCGCUGAACUUAAGCAUAUCAAUAAGCGGAGGA